rnacentral:rRNA from 1 species
AUUACAUAGCGAAAUGCGAUACUUGGUGUGAAUUGCAGAAUCCCGUGAACCAUCGAGUCUUUGAAUGCAAGUUGUGCCCCAAGCCAUUAGGUCGAGGGCACGUCUGCCUGGGUGUCA